rnacentral:rRNA from 1 species
AUUGAACGCUGGCGGCAGGCCUAACACAUGCAAGUCGAACGAGUGGCGUACGGGUGAGUAAUGUCUGGGAAACUGCCUGAUGGAGGGGGUUAACUAUUGGAAACGGUAGCUAAUACCGCAUACCAUCGGAUGUCCCCAGAUGGGAUUAGCUAGUAGGUGGGGUAAAGGAUCACCUAGGCGACACUCCCUAGCUGGUCUGAGAGGAUGACCAGCCACACUGGAACUAAGACACGGUCCAGAAUCAUACGGGAGGCAGCAGAGGGAAAUAGUGAACAAUGGGCGCAAGCCUGAAGCAGCCAUGCCGCGUGUAUGAAGAAGGCGUUCGGGUUGUAAAGUACUUUCAGCGUGGAGGCGUAACCCGCAGAAGAAGCACGGGCUAACGCCGUGCCAGCAGCCGCGGUAAUAG